rnacentral:rRNA from 1 species
GGUUAAGCGACUAAGCGUACACGGUGGAUGCCCUGGCAGUCAGAGGCGAUGAAGGACGUGCUAAUCUGCGAAAAGCGUCGGUAAGGUGAUAUGAACCGUUAUAACCGGCGAUGUCCGAAUGGGGAAACCCAGUGUGAUUCGUCACACUAUCGUUAACUGAAUACAUAGGUUAACGAGGCGAACCGGGGGAACUGAAACAUCUAAGUACCCCGAGGAAAAGAAAUCAACCGAGAUUCCCCCAGUAGCGGCGAGCGAACGGGGAGCAGCCCAGAGUCUGAAUCAGCUUGUGUGUUAGUGGAACGGUCUGGAAAGUCCGACGGUACAGGGUGAUAGUCCCGUACACCAAAAUGCACAGGCUGUGAACUCGAAGAGUAGGGCGGGACACGUGGUAUCCUGUCUGAAUAUGGGGGGACCAUCCUCCAAGGCUAAAUACUCCUGACUGACCGAUAGUGAACCAGUACCGUGAGGGAAAGGCGAAAAGAACCCCGGCGAGGGGAGUGAAAAAGAACCUGAAACCGUGUACGUACAAGCAGUGGGAGCACCUUCGGGUGUGACUGCGUACCUUUUGUAUAAUGGGUCAGCGACUUAUAUUCUGUAGCAAGGUUAACCGUAUAGGGGAGCCGCAGGGAAACCGAGUCUUAACUGGGCGUUAAGUUGCAGGGUAUAGACCCGAAACCCGGUGAUCUAGCCAUGGGCAGGUUGAAGGUUGGGUAACACUAACUGGAGGACCGAACCGACUAAUGUUGAAAAAUUAGCGGAUGACUUGUGGCUGGGGGUGAAAGGCCAAUCAAACCGGGAGAUAGCUGGUUCUCCCCGAAAGCUAUUUAGGUAGCGCCUCGUGAACUCAUCUUCGGGGGUAGAGCACUGUUUCGGCUAGGGGGUCAUCCCGACUUACCAACCCGAUGCAAACUACGAAUACCGAAGAAUGUUAUCACGGGAGACACACGGCGGGUGCUAACGUCCGUCGUGAAGAGGGAAACAACCCAGACCGCCAGCUAAGGUCCCAAAGUCAUGGUUAAGUGGGAAACGAUGUGGGAAGGCACAGACAGCCAGGAUGUUGGCUUAGAAGCAGCCAUCAUUUAAAGAAAGCGUAAUAGCUCACUGGUCGAGUCGGCCUGCGCGGAAGAUGUAACGGGGCUAAACCAUGCACCGAAGCUGCGGCAGCGACACUAUGUGUUGUUGGGUAGGGGAGCGUUCUGUAAGCCUGCGAAGGUGUGCUGUGAGGCAUGCUGGAGGUAUCAGAAGUGCGAAUGCUGACAUAAGUAACGAUAAAGCGGGUGAAAAGCCCGCUCGCCGGAAGACCAAGGGUUCCUGUCCAACGUUAAUCGGGGCAGGGUGAGUCGACCCCUAAGGCGAGGCCGAAAGGCGUAGUCGAUGGGAAACAGGUUAAUAUUCCUGUACUUGGUGUUACUGCGAAGGGGGGACGGAGAAGGCUAUGUUAGCCGGGCGACGGUUGUCCCGGUUUAAGCAUGUAGGCUGAUUAUCCAGGCAAAUCCGGAUAAUCAAGGCUGAGGUGUGAUGACGAGGCACUACGGUGCUGAAGUAACAAAUGCCCUGCUUCCAGGAAAAGCCUCUAAGCAUCAGGUAACAUCAAAUCGUACCCCAAACCGACACAGGUGGUCAGGUAGAGAAUACCAAGGCGCUUGAGAGAACUCGGGUGAAGGAACUAGGCAAAAUGGUGCCGUAACUUCGGGAGAAGGCACGCUGGUGUGUAGGUGAAGUCCCUGCGGAUGGAGCUGAGACCAGUCGAAGAUACCAGCUGGCUGCAACUGUUUAUUAAAAACACAGCACUGUGCAAACACGAAAGUGGACGUAUACGGUGUGACGCCUGCCCGGUGCCGGAAGGUUAAUUGAUGGGGUUAUCCGUAAGGAGAAGCUCUUGAUCGAAGCCCCGGUAAACGGCGGCCGUAACUAUAACGGUCCUAAGGUAGCGAAAUUCCUUGUCGGGUAAGUUCCGACCUGCACGAAUGGCGUAAUGAUGGCCAGGCUGUCUCCACCCGAGACUCAGUGAAAUUGAACUCGCUGUGAAGAUGCAGUGUACCCGCGGCAAGACGGAAAGACCCCGUGAACCUUUACUAUAGCUUGACACUGAACAUUGAGCCUUGAUGUGUAGGAUAGGUGGGAGGCUUUGAAGCGUGGACGCCAGUCUGCGUGGAGCCAACCUUGAAAUACCACCCUUUAAUGUUUGAUGUUCUAACGUUGGCCCCUGACCGGGGUUGCGGACAGUGUCUGGUGGGUAGUUUGACUGGGGCGGUCUCCUCCCAAAGCGUAACGGAGGAGCACGAAGGUUAGCUAAUCCUGGUCGGACAUCAGGAGGUUAGUGCAAUGGCAUAAGCUAGCUUGACUGCGAGCGUGACGGCGCGAGCAGGUGCGAAAGCAGGUCAUAGUGAUCCGGUGGUUCUGAAUGGAAGGGCCAUCGCUCAACGGAUAAAAGGUACUCCGGGGAUAACAGGCUGAUACCGCCCAAGAGUUCAUAUCGACGGCGGUGUUUGGCACCUCGAUGUCGGCUCAUCACAUCCUGGGGCUGAAGUAGGUCCCAAGGGUAUGGCUGUUCGCCAUUUAAAGUGGUACGCGAGCUGGGUUUAGAACGUCGUGAGACAGUUCGGUCCCUAUCUGCCGUGGGCGCUGGAGAAUUGAGGGGGGCUGCUCCUAGUACGAGAGGACCGGAGUGGACGCAUCACUGGUGUUCGGGUUGUCAUGCCAAUGGCACUGCCCGGUAGCUAAAUGCGGAAGAGAUAAGUGCUGAAAGCAUCUAAGCACGAAACUUGCCCCGAGAUGAGUUCUCCCUGAGACUUUAAGUCUCCUGAAGGAACGUUGAAGACGAUGACGUUGAUAGGCCGGGUGUGUAAGCGCAGCGAUGCGUUGAGCUAACCGGUACUAAUGAACCGUGAGGCUUAACCUU